rnacentral:sRNA from 1 species
AAAAAGAAUAGAUUUGCCGUAGACAGUAGGUGCUUUAGCUUAAAUAUCCUACCGAGGUUUUAGAUAAAUGAUAAACUAAAGCUUUUAUGUCGUCUAUGCAAUAGAUAAUAUAAAAGCUUUUUAUAUGA